rnacentral:rRNA from 1 species
CAGGCGGUUAGAUAAGUNUGAAGUUAAAGGCUGUGGCUUAACCAUAGUACGCUUUGGAAACUGUUUAACUUGAGUGCGGAAGGGGAGAGUGGAAUNCCAUGUGUAGCGGUGAAAUGCGUAGGUAUAUGGAGGAACACCGGUGGCGAAAGCGGCUCUCUGGUCUGUAACUGACGCUGAGGCUCGAAAGCGUGGGGAGCGAACAGGAUUAGAUACCCUGGUAGUNCACGCCGUAAACGAUGAGUGCUAGGUGUUAGGCCCUUUCCGGGGCUUAGUGCCGCAGCUAACGCAUUAAGCACUCCGCCUGGGGAGUACGACCGCAAGGUUGAAACUCAAAGGAAUUGACGGGGGCCCGCACAAGCGGUGGAGCAUGUGGUUUAAUUCGAAGCAACGCGAAGAACCUUACCAGGUCUUGACAUCCCGAUGCCCGCUCUAGAGAUAGAGUUUUACUUCGGUACAUCGGUGACAGGUGGUGCAUGGUUGUCGUCAGCUCGUGUCGUGAGAUGUUGGGUUAAGUCCCGCAACGAGCGCAACCCUUAUUGUUAGUUGCCAUCAUUCAGUUGGGCACUCUAGCGAGACUGCCGGUAAUAAACCGGAGGAAGGUGGGGAUGACGUCAAAUCAUCAUGCCCCUUAUGACCUGGGCUACACACGUGCUACAAUGGCUGGUACAACGAGUCGCAAGUCGGUGACGGCAAGCUAAUCUCUUAAAGCCAGUCUCAGUUCGGAUUGUAGGCUGCAACUCGCCUACAUGAAGUCGGAAUCGCUAGUAAUCGCGGAUCAGCACGCCGCGGUGAAUACGUUCCCGGGCCUUGUACACACCGCCCGUCACACCACGAGAGUUUGUAACACCCGAAGUCGGUGAGGUAACCUUUUAGGAGCCAGCCGC